rnacentral:rRNA from 1 species
CCUACGGGAGGCAGCAGUGGGGAAUAUUGCUCAAUGGGGGAAACCCUGAAGCAGCGACGCCGCGUGAGGGAUGAAUGUUUUCGGAGUGUAAACUCCUUUUGUUAGGGAAGAUAAUGACGGUAUCUGACGAAUAAGCACCGGCUAACUCCGUGCCAGCAGCCGCGGUAAUACGGAGGGUGCAAGCGUUACUCGGAAUCACUGGGCGUAAAGAGCGCGUAGGCGGGAGAGCAAGUCAGAUGUGAAAUCCUAGGGCUUAACCAUAGAACUGCAUUUGAAACUGUUAUUCUAGAGUAUGGGAGAGGUAGGUGGAAUUCUUGGUGUAGGGGUAAAAUGCGUAGAGAUCAAGAGGAACACUAAUUGCGAAGGCGACCUGCUAGACUAUAACUGACGCUGAUGCGCGAAAGCGUGGGGAGCAAACAGGAUUAGAUACCCCAGUAGUC